AUGAUGUGUGGUCUCCGAAAAUCGUGGCUCUUCUGCGAAGAGCCGUGUCAAAAGCCACACAAAAAUUUGUUUAGGGCACCGACAUUCUGUGUUAACGAACGUAGCAUAAACUCCACGGUCCUCGAACCGACCUGACACAAUUAGCCUUCCAUUGAUGGGGGCGUUUAUAACAACAAGAUCACGGACCACCUUGUAAUACUGUUUGUUUGCUAUCGCAUAGCAGAUUGUUAGCCACCACA